UGGACGAAGUCUGACGGAGCAACGCCGCGUGAGUGAAGAAGGUUUUCGGAUCGUAAAACUCUGGGGUUAGGGAAGAACAAGUGCCGUUCGAAUAGGGCGGCACCUUGACGGUACCUAACCAGAAAGCCACGGCUAACUACGUGCCAGCAGCCGCGGUAAUACGUAGGUGGCAAGCGUUGUCCGGAAUUAUUGGGCGUAAAGCGCGCGCAGGUGGUUUCUUAAGUCUGAUGUGAAAGCCCACGGCUCAACCGUGGAGGGUCAUUGGAAACUGGGGAACUUGAGUGCAGAAAAGGAAAGUGGAAUUCCAAGUGUAGCGGUGAAAUGCGUAAAUAUUUGGAGGAACACCAGUGGCGAAGGCGACUUUCUGGUCUGUAACUGACACUGAGGCGCGAAAGCGUGGGGAGCAAACAGGAUUAAAUACCCUGGUAGUCCACGCCGUAAACGAUGAGUGCUAAGUGUUAGAGGGUUUCCGCCCUUUAGUGCUGCAGCUAACGCAUUAAGCACUCCGCCUGGGGAGUACGGUCGCAAGACUGAAACUCAAAGGAAUUGACGGGGGCCCGCACAAGCGGUGGAGCAUGUGGUUUAAUUCGAAGCAACGCGAAGAACCUUACCAGGUCUUGACAUCCUCUGACAACCCUAGAGAUAGGGCUUUCCCCUUCGGGGGACAGAGUGACAGGUGGUGCAUGGUUGUCGUCAGCUCGUGUCGUGAGAUGUUGGGUUAAGUCCCGCAACGAGCGCAACCCUUGAUCUUAGUUGCCAGCAUUCAGUUGGGCACUCUAAGAUGACUGCCGGUGACAAACCGGAGGAAGGUGGGGAUGACGUCAAA
rnacentral:rRNA from 1 species